UACAGAGGGUGCGAGCGUUGUUCGGAAUUACUGGGCGUAAAGCGCGCGCAGGCGGCCUUUUAAGUCUCGUGGUGAGAUGCCGGGGCUCAACCCCGUGCCCGCCGGAGAUACUGGGAGGCUGGAGACAUGUAGAGGCAAGCGGAAUUCCGGGUGUAGCGGUGGAAUGCGUAGAUAUCAGGAAGAACACCGGUGGCGAAGGCGGCUUGCUGGGCCAUCACUGACGCUGAGACACGAAAGCGUGGGGAGCAAACGGG
rnacentral:rRNA from 1 species